rnacentral:misc_RNA from 1 species
UAACCGUAGGGGGACCUGCGGUUGGAUCACCUCCUUACCUAAAGAUACGCAUUGCGUAGUGUCCACACAGAUUGUCUGAUAGAAAGUAACGAGCAAAUAAGGCCGGACUGAGAAAUUGGUCGGGCUUUAGUACCUUGUUGGGUCUGUAGCUCAGGUGGUUAGAGCGCACCCCUGAUAAGGGUGAGGUCGGUGGUUCAAGUCCACUCAGACCCACCAACUCAUCUUCCUACUCCGUUGCAGCGGCAUUCGUUUAUCACCAUCAACGUCAUGUCACUGUAUGUUGUCUGAGAAUGAGUUAUGCCGAUAAGGUAUUUUGCUUUUUAUAUGGGGCUAUAGCUCAGCUGGGAGAGCGCCUGCCUUGCACGCAGGAGGUCAGCGGUUCGAUCCCGCUUAGCUCCACCAUAUAAAAAAACUAUUUCAAAACGUAUUGCUACCGCAAGGUGAGCAGUGUGUUGUGAAAUAUUGCUCUUUAACAAUCUGGAACAAGCUGAAAAUUGAAACGAUACAGCUGAAACUUGUCUCUCCGUAGCAGUACUGAGAUAAGGAGUACCCUGUAUCAGAGUCUCUCAAAUAAUUGCAAUGCGAUGUGUUUAUCCUUUGUUGCAGUGUGAAUGAGAAGAUACUCGGCGAAGCGUACAGCGCACGGCAACCGAAGUGAACUUGAGGUUCAUGAGGAUGGCGCGUACUGCACAAUAACGCAGAGUGUGUUCACCACCACCACCAGUAAAGAAAAAGACACCUUCGGGUUGUGGA